GGUUAAGCGACUAAGCGUACACGGUGGAUGCCCUGGCAGUCAGAGGCGAUGAAGGACGUGCUAAUCUGCGAAAAGCGUCGGUAAGGUGAUAUGAACCGUUAUAACCGGCGAUGUCCGAAUGGGGAAACCCAGUGCAAUUCGUUGCACUAUCGUUAACUGAAUACAUAGGUUAACGAGGCGAACCGGGGGAACUGAAACAUCUAAGUACCCCGAGGAAAAGAAAUCAACCGAGAUUCCCCCAGUAGCGGCGAGCGAACGGGGAGCAGCCCAGAGUCUGAAUCAGCUUGUGUGUUAGUGGAACGGUCUGGAAAGUCCGACGGUACAGGGUGAUAGUCCCGUACACCAAAAUGCACAGGUUGUGAACUCGAAGAGUAGGGCGGGACACGUGGUAUCCUGUCUGAAUAUGGGGGGACCAUCCUCCAAGGCUAAAUACUCCUGACUGACCGAUAGUGAACCAGUACCGUGAGGGAAAGGCGAAAAGAACCCCGGCGAGGGGAGUGAAAAAGAACCUGAAACCGUGUACGUACAAGCAGUGGGAGCACCUUCGGGUGUGACUGCGUACCUUUUGUAUAAUGGGUCAGCGACUUAUAUUCUGUAGCAAGGUUAACCGUAUAGGGGAGCCGCAGGGAAACCGAGUCUUAACUGGGCGUUAAGUUGCAGGGUAUAGACCCGAAACCCGGUGAUCUAGCCAUGGGCAGGUUGAAGGUUGGGUAACACUAACUGGAGGACCGAACCGACUAAUGUUGAAAAAUUAGCGGAUGACUUGUGGCUGGGGGUGAAAGGCCAAUCAAACCGGGAGAUAGCUGGUUCUCCCCGAAAGCUAUUUAGGUAGCGCCUCGUGAAUUCAUCUUCGGGGGUAGAGCACUGUUUCGGCUAGGGGGUCAUCCCGACUUACCAACCCGAUGCAAACUACGAAUACCGAAGAAUGUUAUCACGGGAGACACACGGCGGGUGCUAACGUCCGUCGUGAAGAGGGAAACAACCCAGACCGCCAGCUAAGGUCCCAAAGUCAUGGUUAAGUGGGAAACGAUGUGGGAAGGCACAGACAGCCAGGAUGUUGGCUUAGAAGCAGCCAUCAUUUAAAGAAAGCGUAAUAGCUCACUGGUCGAGUCGGCCUGCGCGGAAGAUGUAACGGGGCUAAACCAUGCACCGAAGCUGCGGCAGCGACACUAUGUGUUGUUGGGUAGGGGAGCGUUCUGUAAGCCUGCGAAGGUGUGCUGUGAGGCAUGCUGGAGGUAUCAGAAGUGCGAAUGCUGACAUAAGUAACGAUAAAGCGGGUGAAAAGCCCGCUCGCCGGAAGACCAAGGGUUCCUGUCCAACGUUAAUCGGGGCAGGGUGAGUCGACCCCUAAGGCGAGGCCGAAAGGCGUAGUCGAUGGGAAACAGGUUAAUAUUCCUGUACUUGGUGUUACUGCGAAGGGGGGACGGAGAAGGCUAUGUUAGCCGGGCGACGGUUGUCCCGGUUUAAGCAUGUAGGCUGAUUGUCCAGGCAAAUCCGGAUAAUCAAGGCUGAGGUGUGAUGACGAGGCACUACGGUGCUGAAGUAACAAAUGCCCUGCUUCCAGGAAAAGCCUCUAAGCAUCAGGUAACAUCAAAUCGUACCCCAAACCGACACAGGUGGUCAGGUAGAGAAUACCAAGGCGCUUGAGAGAACUCGGGUGAAGGAACUAGGCAAAAUGGUGCCGUAACUUCGGGAGAAGGCACGCUGGUGUGUAGGUGAAGUCCCUGCGGAUGGAGCUGAGACCAGUCGAAGAUACCAGCUGGCUGCAACUGUUUAUUAAAAACACAGCACUGUGCAAACACGAAAGUGGACGUAUACGGUGUGACGCCUGCCCGGUGCCGGAAGGUUAAUUGAUGGGGUUAUCCGUAAGGAGAAGCUCUUGAUCGAAGCCCCGGUAAACGGCGGCCGUAACUAUAACGGUCCUAAGGUAGCGAAAUUCCUUGUCGGGUAAGUUCCGACCUGCACGAAUGGCGUAAUGAUGGCCAGGCUGUCUCCACCCGAGACUCAGUGAAAUUGAACUCGCUGUGAAGAUGCAGUGUACCCGCGGCAAGACGGAAAGACCCCGUGAACCUUUACUAUAGCUUGACACUGAACAUUGAGCCUUGAUGUGUAGGAUAGGUGGGAGGCUUUGAAGCGUGGACGCCAGUCUGCGUGGAGCCAACCUUGAAAUACCACCCUUUAAUGUUUGAUGUUCUAACGUUGGCCCCUGACCGGGGUUGCGGACAGUGUCUGGUGGGUAGUUUGACUGGGGCGGUCUCCUCCCAAAGCGUAACGGAGGAGCACGAAGGUUAGCUAAUCCUGGUCGGACAUCAGGAGGUUAGUGCAAUGGCAUAAGCUAGCUUGACUGCGAGCGUGACGGCGCGAGCAGGUGCGAAAGCAGGUCAUAGUGAUCCGGUGGUUCUGAAUGGAAGGGCCAUCGCUCAACGGAUAAAAGGUACUCCGGGGAUAACAGGCUGAUACCGCCCAAGAGUUCAUAUCGACGGCGGUGUUUGGCACCUCGAUGUCGGCUCAUCACAUCCUGGGGCUGAAGUAGGUCCCAAGGGUAUGGCUGUUCGCCAUUUAAAGUGGUACGCGAGCUGGGUUUAGAACGUCGUGAGACAGUUCGGUCCCUAUCUGCCGUGGGCGCUGGAGAAUUGAGGGGGGCUGCUCCUAGUACGAGAGGACCGGAGUGGACGCAUCACUGGUGUUCGGGUUGUCAUGCCAAUGGCACUGCCCGGUAGCUAAAUGCGGAAGAGAUAAGUGCUGAAAGCAUCUAAGCACGAAACUUGCCCCGAGAUGAGUUCUCCCUGAGACUUUAAGUCUCCUGAAGGAACGUUGAAGACGACGACGUUGAUAGGCCGGGUGUGUAAGCGCAGCGAUGCGUUGAGCUAACCGGUACUAAUGAACCGUGAGGCUUAACCUU
rnacentral:rRNA from 2 species